rnacentral:rRNA from 1 species
CCCAGGACCCACAAGUGGCAACCGCUUUUAUUUGGCCUAAAGCGUCCGUAGCUGGUUUGGUAAAUCUUCUGUGAAAUCGUUCGGCUUAACCGAAUGGCGAGCAGGAGACACUGCCUGACUUGGGACCGGGAGGCGUGUGGAGUAUUUCGGGGGGAGCGGUAAAAUGUUAUAAUCCCCGAAGGACUACCUGUGGCGAAGGCGCCACACGAGAACGGAUCCGACAGUGAGGGACGAAAGCUAGGGGAGCAAAACGG